AUACACAUAUAUGUAUACACAUAUGUGUAUAUACAUAUAUAUGUGUGUACAUAUAUGUGUAUAUGUGUGUGUGUGUG
rnacentral:pre_miRNA from 8 species